UACGUAGGGGGCUAGCGUUGUCCGGAUUUAUUGGGCGUAAAGAGCGUGUAGGCGGCCAGGUAGGUCUGGUGUGAAAACUCGAGGCUUAACCUCGAGAUGUCAUCGGAAACCAUCUGGCUAGAGUCCGGAAGAGGAGAGUGGGAAUUCCUGGUGUAGCGGUGAAAUGCGCAGAUAUCAGGAGGAACACCGGUGGCGAAGGCGGGUCUCUGGGCCGAUACUGACGCUGAGGAGCGAAAGCGUGGGGAGCGAACAGG
rnacentral:rRNA from 1 species